GGGGAGCAUUUAAAGUCAUUGAUGUUGCCUGAUAUACCCUUCCAACAACAAAAUCUCAAAUUUCCUGCUUGUUGAAUGUGAGUCAUGUUCGCAAGUCUCUUAACUAUGAGUCACAUAA